rnacentral:tRNA from 1 species
GGAGAGGUCGCAUAGUGGUCUAGUGCGCACGCUUGGAAAGCGUGUAUCCCUUUACCGGGAUCGAGGGUUCGAAUCCCUCCCUCUCCGCCA